CCUACAGUGGUUUUGGGGCAGCAAUUAUUUAUUUUGGGCUAAUGAAUUCAGGAGCAUGAGCUGCUUGGGUGGAGAGAAAGCAAAUGCAAAAUCCCUCCAAAUUCAUGUUGUUACGCACUGGAGGAGAGCCAUGGGGACAACCACCAGAAUGGGUGAAGUGACAACUUGGUUUCAGAGCUAAAAUGAGAGGCUGUAAAGGACAGGUGGCUGCAGCCAGUCUGUCCCUGUCUGAGGGGUGGAUGUUGCUGAAGCUGCUCUCAUUGUGCAGAGUGAGGAGAGCCAUGAGCCUGUGCCAGAGGAACGGCUGGGAAAAAUCAGUCAAGAAAGAAAUUACAAGCAAAAAGGCAACAAAAUGAGUGGGCUCCUGGCCAGGCUCUCUAAGGCAGAUGGCACUGUUGGUUGCAACAGCUGCAACUGAAAAUCCAGGAGACAACAGGGGGAGCUGACAAAUGUUUAAAGAUUGCUACCAGCUGUUGAGCCCAAAUGAUAUCUCCUUCUCUACAAAGGAGAGAAAGCUUUGCACUGUGACUCCUUUACCUUCUCUUCAUCACUUCAUGGUAAAGAUGCUAUUUAGACACUGCUAGAAGGAUCAAGCUCCUGAAUGCCAGCAGUGUGUUAUCCUGCAGCAAGAUCCUUAAGCCCUGAUGGAUUUGCAGCCUCCUCUCAAUUUCUUUUCCAAAGCAGCUAAAGGUGAUGACAAAACAUGUCAUUGAAUUCAUCCAUGUGAAUCCUAAUAAGUACGUGAGAGCACAAAGGGAUAUCAGAGGACAGAGCUGGUCACUGGCAAGAGUGAGAUGCAUCAUAUCCCUGAGGACUGCAGUAAUAGUAAUAGAGAGGGAAACAGACAAAAACAUAAUGAGAUAAGGAUGUUGCAGUCUCUGUGCUCCUGCACAGAAAGAGCUGGGAAAGCAGCAUAGGGGAUGAAUCCAUUGCAAAAAACAACAACAACAAACUGAAAAAGCAAGCAGAAGAGCAAGGGCAGAAAACCUCUGAUCAGAGUUUGUAUUUCAGUUCUGCUCUAUAUCCAAGCUGACAGAUACAUCUUUUUCUUGUUGUCUGUUCCUUCCAAAUAUCCCCGUGGGACAGCCGAUGUUGCAGCAGGGUUAAGCCAACUUCCUACAGACUGUUAAUAUACAGUGGACCUAAAGAAGGGAAAGAUUUCACCUUCUGGCCUGAAACGGGCAACAGCUCUCCCCUGUUAGUGCCUCUGCAGAUAAGGUGGCAAGCUGUGUUUGGGUGUAAAUAGGUGGCUCAGACUGAUUAUGUGCAUUUAUAUUUUGUCUUCAAGACAGACCCUUCCUUCAUGCUUGGCAGGGACAGUGGCAAUGACAACAGUCAUGACAGUGUCAGUAGCAACAGCUUUGUGGAAGUGAACCUCCAUCCAGUAUCACCUCAGGCUUCUCGGCUGUGUUUUGCAGUCACAAAAUUGAAUGUGAGAGGACGCAGGUAAUGGCUUUCCAUCAUUGUAUCUUCCUGGGGCUGCUCUGUGUCCAUGGGCACUGUGAGCCAGGCAGUCUGCUGCUCUCCUCUGCUCCUGAGUGCUUGGAGCUGGCUCACAGGGAUGAACAGUCCAAACAACCUCAGGUGCCUUUGGAUGAAACCAACUGUGACUGCCUCUUUCUAUCUAUUAUUUGACAGCCUGAAGUUUUGCCAGAAGCCAUAAAGAAAUUAUUUGUCUAAAGCCAGUGGCUUGAAGUUUGGCUUUUAAAUCUGCAUUUAGCUACCUCCUUAAAUACCCUGAUAUUAAAAAAAGAUGCUCACACCGAAACUCAAUACUUAUGAAAGUUAUAUUUUUCCCAACCACAUCUACACAGCACUUACCACAGUGGAGCCUGAGUUUGGGACUAAAAAAAUGCUCUAGGUGUAGGUAUAGAUUGUAAUGAAGUACUAAAUGACUGCAGACAAGGCUGGAGCUAAAACCUCACUUAUUGCUGGCAGAACAGAAAUCAUAUUCAUACCUCAGGAGCAGAAAACGUCAAAGAUCUUUUGGAGCUUUACCUUACAUCUAGGUAGACUGGUGGAAAACUAAACAAUGUGCUGACUCAGAGGAAUCAGAAUCAUAUCCACAAAAAAAUCCAUUAUCACAGACAUUGACUGUCUAAGUAGAAGUAUCUGGCAGAGAAAUGCAAUAGGAUUUCCCAAAGGGAGAGCUGUGAGAAAGGAGCACUGGGGAGAGCCUCAGGUCCUGGGAACUUGAGGGUCCUUUCAGCUGC